UGGACCUUCCACCCCUUCAUUUUUUCCACCAUGCUGUGGACUCUGCUGCUACUUUUCUUCUUUUACUCUCCAGGCGUCACUUCACAGCCCACCUUGACUCAGCCUGCCUCCCAGUCUGGAUCUCCAGGAGGGACAACUAAAAUCUCCUGUGCCAUCAGUAGCAACCCAAACAACAUUGGCUGGCUUCAGCAGAGAUCUGGGGAAGCCCCUCGCUUUGUGCAAUAUGAUGGCGGCAGCAGAGGAGAAGGGAUCCCAGACCGAUUCACGGCAACCCGAUCAGGCAACAACGGCUACUUAACCAUCACCAACCUUCAGGCUGAAGACGAGGCUGAUUAUCACUGUUACAUGUGGUAUAGCAGUGGUAACAUGUUCCACAGUAUCACGGUCAAGUACAGCAUUAGUCAGGAACCUACCCUCUCUGCAUCUCUUGGGAAACCAGCAACUCUCUCCUGCAACAUCAGCAGUGGCUUCUACUUUAAUUACUUCUCAUGGACAAAUGUACUGUCCAACCCAGGCAAAACCGACUGA